rnacentral:tRNA from 1 species
GGGCAAGUGGUGGAAUGGCAUACACGACAGACUUAAAAUCUGUUGACCGUAAGGUUGUGAGGGUCCGACUCCCUCCUUGCCCA